UAUGGCGACCGGCGCACGGGUGAGUAACACGUAUCCAACCUGCCGAUGACUCGGGGAUAGCCUUUCGAAAGAAAGAUUAAUACCCGAUGGCAUAAUUAGACCGCAUGGUCUUAUUAUUAAAGAAUUUCGGUUAUCGAUGGGGAUGCGUUCCAUUAGGCAGUUGGUGAGGUAACGGCUCACCAAACCUUCGAUGGAUAGGGGUUCUGAGAGGAAGGUCCCCCACAUUGGAACUGAGACACGGUCCAA
rnacentral:rRNA from 1 species